rnacentral:rRNA from 1 species
CCCUUGAGUUUGAUCCUGGCUCAGAAUCAACGCUGGCGGCGCGCUUAACACAUGCAAGUCGAACGAGAAAGGGAGCAAUCCUGAGUAAAGUGGCGCACUGGUGAGUAACACGUGGAUAUCUACCUCCUGGUGGGGAAUAACCUGGGGAAACCUGGGCUAAUACCGCAUAAGUUCGAGAGAAGAAAGGCGCAAGUCGCCGGGAGAGGAGUCCGCGGUCGAUUAGGUAGUUGGCGGGGUAAAAGCCCACCAAGCCGAAGAUCGAUAGCCGGCCUGAGAGGGCACACGGCCACACUGGCACUGAAACACGGGCCAGACUCCUACGGGAGGCAGCAGUGGGGAAUCUUGCACAAUGGGGGAAACCCUGAUGCAGCGACGCCGCGUGAGCGAUGAAGCCCUUCGGGGUGUAAAGCUCUUUCGGCAGGAACGAUAAUGACGGUACCUGCAGAAGAAGCUGCGGCUAACUACGUGCCAGCAGCCGCGGUAAUACGUAGGCAGCAAGCGUUGUUCGGAAUUACUGGGCGUAAAGAGUGUGUAGGUGGUGUCGUAAGUUCGGUGUGAAAUCUCCCGGCUUAACUGGGAGGGUGCGCCGAAGACUGCGAUGCUGGAGUAUGGGAGAGGAAAGCGGAAUUCCUGGUGUAGCGGUGAAAUGCGUAGAUAUCAGGAGGAACACCUGCGGUGUAGACGGCUUUCUGGACCAUUACUGACACUGAGACACGAAAGCGUGGGUAGCAAACAGGAUUAGAUACCCUGGUAGUCCACGCCCUAAACGAUGCAUACUUGGUGUGAGCCAUUCAGUUGGUUCGUGCCGGAGCUAACGCGUUAAGUAUGCCGCCUGGGGAGUACGGUCGCAAGGCUGAAACUCAAAGGAAUUGACGGGGGCCCGCACAAGCGAUAUCCCACAAGGGAGUGGAGUCGAGGUGCUGCAUGGCGGUCGUCAGCUCGUGUCGUGAGAUGUUGGGUUAAGUCCCGCAACGAGCGCAACCGGUUGCCAUGUUUUGCCAUCAUUCAGUUGGGAACUAUCAGGGGACCGCCAGCGAUAAGUUGGAGGAAGGUGGGGACGACGUCAAGUCAGCAUGGCCUUUAUGUCCAGGGCUACACACGUGCUACAAUGGACGGUACAAAGCGCUGCGAAGCCGCGAGGUGGAGCUAAUCGCAAAAAACCGUUCUCAGUUCGGAUCGCAGGCUGCAACUCCCCUGCGUGAAGCUGGAAUCGCUAGUAAUGGCAGAUCAGCAUGCUGCCGUGAAUACGUUCCCGGGCCUUGUACACACCGCCCGUCACAUCACGAAAGUGGGUUGUACUAGAAGUCUGUGCGCUAACCGCAAGGAGGCCAAGGCCCAAGGUGUGACUCAUGAUUGGGGUGAAGUCGUAACAAGGGAGCCGUAAGGGC